UUGAACGCUGGCGGCAUGCCUUACACAUGCAAGUCGAACGGCAGCACGGGGGCAACCCUGGUGGCGAGUGGCGAACGGGUGAGUAAUGCAUCGGAACGUGCCCAGUCAUGGGGGAUAACUACGCGAAAGCGUAGCUAAUACCGCAUACGCCCUGAGGGGGAAAGCGGGGGAUCGCAAGACCUCGCGUGAUUGGAGCGGCCGAUGUCGGAUUAGCUAGUUGGUGGGGUAAAGGCCUACCAAGGCGACGAUCCGUAGCUGGUCUGAGAGGAUGAUCAGCCACACUGGGACUGAGACACGGCCCAGACUCCUACGGGAGGCAGCAGUGGGGAAUUUUGGACAAUGGGCGCAAGCCUGAUCCAGCCAUGCCGCGUGAGUGAAGAAGGCCUUCGGGUUGUAAAGCUCUUUCAGACGGAAAGAAAUCGGGCGGGUGAAUAGCCUGCCUGGAUGACGGUACUGUCAGAAGAAGCACCGGCUAACUACGU
rnacentral:rRNA from 1 species